GGGAAGGUGGCCGAGCGGUCCAAGGCGCCACGUUAAGGAUAUAUCCUUGAUCAUUCUUCUCUCCUUCCUCUCUCCUCCGAGAAAAGAGAACUAAAAAUCCGUGGUCUCGUAAGAGGCGUGGGUUCAAAUCCCACCCUUCUCA